AAACACAUUCUUCUCAAUUUGCAUCACAUCUAGGUUAUGUCUAAUGAGAUUGGAACUCCAGUAUGGCAAAUCUCAAAAGCUACUUCUUUUCUUCUAACCGCACUCCUUGCAAAUGGGACCAUUAACCUCUUUAGCAUCAAGUUUAUUUACUCUUCUAAGUCCUAAAUCAUCUAUCUCUUGCAAGAUUUGAUCACUUAUCCUUAUAGGUGGUGCCGGUGAUAUCUCCUUUCUAUUUUUCAAGAACCAAUUUUUAUUCCAUCUGAAAGGAAGAUCAAGGGGAAGACAAUUAUGAUGAUUGUCAAACCAAGAUGUCUUUCAACCAUUUUUUGAAACUGAAUGCUUGUGAAUGUUCUAUGCAAUAAGGACAAGCAAGUUCCAGCUGUGCUGCAGCCUGACAACAUUGAGUAUGCAGGAAAAUCACUGAUGGUCCAUAUAAGAGCUGCUCUCAUUUGAAAAUUUUGCUAUCUAGACAGAUCACAUGUUUAGACACCCACAUCCCAAAGAUACUUCAAUUCAUCAAUCAAAUAUGGAAGAAAACAUUUAUCUGGUUUUUAGGAUUAGUUGGCCUAUGGAUAAUUAUAGAUAAGAACAUGUACGCCUCUUUCAUACAAUACCGCGCAGGUAAAUUCAUAGCUAAUCUUGCCACCAGCAUUAACCUAGUGUGCAUCCAUUACCGAUCAAAAUUCAUGUUUUUUUCCUAUGUACAUUACAUUACAUCUCACACUAAAUUUUAUAUGUAUUCAU
rnacentral:lncRNA from 1 species